GAGGGUAUAGCUCAAGCAGUAGGGCGCAUGCUUAGCAUGCAUGAGGUCCUGGGUUUAGUCCCCAGUACCUCCU
rfam:Camelus ferus unplaced genomic scaffold scaffold660, whole genome shotgun sequence.